rnacentral:rRNA from 1 species
GACGAACGCUGGCGGCAUGCCUAACACAUGCAAGUCGAACGAGACCUUCGGGUCUAGGUGCGCACGGGGGCGUAACGCGGGGGAACCUGCCCGUAGGUUCGGAAUAACUCCCCGAAAGGGGUGCUAAGACCGGAGAAUGUCUUCGGGCCAAAGAGUUAUCGCCUUUUGGUGGGGCCGGGUUGGAUUAGCUGGUUGGUAGUGUAAAAGCCGACCAAGGCGAGGAUCCAUAGCUGGUCGGAGAGGAUGCCAAGCUACACUGGGACUGCGACACGGCCCAGUACCCUACGGGGAGCAGCAGUGGGUAAUAUUGGACGCGGGGCGAAAGUCUGACAAAGCAACGUCGGGUGAGUGAUGCAUGCCUUAGGGUUGCAGAGCCCUCUUUCCCGGGACGAUAAUGACAGUACCGGGAGAAUAAGCUCCGGCUAACUACGUG